rnacentral:rRNA from 1 species
CUAAAAACGACAGUCUCAUUCGGAUCGCAGGCUGCAACUCGCCUGCGUGAAGUUGGAAUUGCUAGUAAUCGCGGAUCAGCAUGCCGCGGUGAAUACGUUCCCGGGCCUUGUACACACCGCCCGUCACACCAUGGGAGUUUGUAACACCCGAAGUCAGUAUCCUAACCGCAAGGGGGGAGCUGCCGAAGGUGGGAUAAGCGACUGGGGUGAAGUCGUAACAAGGUAGC